rnacentral:rRNA from 1 species
UACGUAGGGUGCGAGCGUUAAGCGGAAUUACUGGGCGUAAAGCGGGCGCAGGCGGCGCGUUAAGACAGGUGUGAAAGCCCCGAGCUUAACUUGGGAAUUGCGCUUGUGACUGGCGUGCUGGAGUGUGGCAGAGGGAGGUGGAAUUCCACGUGUAGCAGUGAAAUGCGUAGAGAUGUGGAGGAACACCGAUGGCGAAGGCAGCCUCCUGGGCCAGCACUGACGCUCAUGCACGAAAGCGUGGGGAGCAAACAGG